rnacentral:lncRNA from 1 species
CAGGCUGCAGGGGUGACAAGUCCCCCUUCCUGUCAACGUCCAAGCUACUGUCUCCAGUGAUGAGACCUUCGCCACGUGGGGUCCACCUGCAGGGGACCAGCUCCAGAGUCCCAGCCUCACCAGGCCCUGGAGGACAGGACCAGACCAACGUCACCUCGUCCAGAAGCCACUCCUGACUGCCAAGUGACCGUCCUUAGGGUGUCUUUCCACUUUCGUGGUGACUUUGCUGCGUCCCGCUGGGACCCCUGAGCUCCUAGAGGCAGGACCGCACCCUGAGGUCUUGGGUCCCCAGCGUCCAGCAGAGAGCCCGGCACAGAACAGGACAACCCCAUGCGCCUGAGAAAGGAGGUGGACAGCAGGUGUGGACACCCCCGCCAGCUGUCAGCGGCCUCACCUUCCUGAGCCAGCUCUGCGCAGUGGAACCUUUUGACACCUUCUGACACCACCGUGGCCCAGCCAUGGUCUGAGAUUCUGCUAGGAGCC